CUGCCGUUUGUUGUGACUUACAGAGAGUUUAUUGGGGCUGACGACUACGCCUUCUAGUAAAUCCAUUAGCGUGGGUUUCUCAGUCGUUGUUGUAUCUGCAAUUUUAACACCUUUGCUUUUGCAGCAGUUGACUCUUAGAGAAGGGUAGGUAUGAACAUCAGCUGAAGAUUGGCAGCUAGGAAAUAUUCUUUGAAAUCAGUUGCUUAUCAACUAACUACCCCUCUCUCUCUCUCUCUCUUUCCUGGAUUCACUCCCUUUCCUGCAAGAUUUCUCUUGAAUCAACUCAUCUUCCUCAUUGUUGUGUUUCUUAAACCUUCGUUCGAUCCCUACUCUUUUUAAAAAGGGUACAAACUGUACGACCAAAUUUCGAUCGUUCAUCAUCGAUAAUCAUGUCUCUCAUGCCACUGAUGGUACGCCCACUAGCAAGGCUACUAACAGCGCUGGUGGCUCACCCAGCAGCCUCUGUCACAACGCUGCUUUAUUACAGCGAUCUUCUACCGCGAAACCUCGACCUAGAAAGAUUGGUUCGACGCGAUUUGCUGGACCGAGAAAACUACUUGUUCCAUUUUCUCAUCAACCUCUUGAGAUGUUUUUGGUAGUAGCAUAUAGCCAGCCCUGAUUUUCAUUUCCUUAGUCAUUGAGGUGGGUAGUUAUAGUAACAGUUUUUGACCCCCCAUUUUUGUUUUCCAGACCGAGCUUGGAUCAUUUUGUGGGAUGGUAUCAAUUGAUGGACCGGUGAGUUUUAUGUAGUACAUGUUAUUUGAAGAGAGCUCCCAGAUUAAGGACUAGAAAUUAGUGUAACUGUGUAAUAAAGAUUUUGAUUGUAGUGAAGAUUGCAGAUGGUGUUAGCUAUUGAGUAUAUGAUGCACUUAAAGCUCUGCUAAUCAAAUUGCAAUAGAAGACCUUUUAUUCUUCUUCUU